rnacentral:rRNA from 1 species
GAUGAACGCUGGCGGCGUGCUUAACACAUGCAAGUCGAACGGUGAAAGAGAGCUUGCUCUCUGGAUCAGUGGCGAACGGGUGAGUAACACGUGAGCAAUCUGCCCCUGACUCUGGGAUAAGCGCUGGAAACGGCGUCUAAUACCGGAUACGAGCUGCGAAGGCAUCUUCAGCAGCUGGAAAGAACUUCGGUCAGGGAUGAGCUCGCGGCCUAUCAGCUAGUUGGUGAGGUAACGGCUCACCAAGGCGUCGACGGGUAGCCGGCCUGAGAGGGUGACCGGCCACACUGGGACUGAGACACGGCCCAGACUCCUACGGGAGGCAGCAGUGGGGAAUAUUGCACAAUGGGCGAAAGCCUGAUGCAGCAACGCCGCGUGAGGGACGACGGCCUUCGGGUUGUAAACCCCUUUUAGCAGGGAAGAAGCGAAAGUGACGGUACCUGCAGAAAAAGCACCGGCUAACUACGUG